AAAGAGCACAACCAUACUAAGCUUUGGAUGCAAUCAGGCAAUCUGCAAUAACAUUCUCCUUUCUUAAAAGCACUAGAGUACAUACUAGAGCACAUCAAUGGUUCUAAAAUUUCUAAUGAAUAUGUUUAAGGGAUUUUAGCAUCACCUUUGGUUCCUGACAUGAAAAUUUUGACACUUGUUCAAACAAUUGAUGAAGAUUAAUGCUUGUAGAUUAAGCAUCAUAAGUGAAUAUCAUACAAUCAAAAAU
rnacentral:misc_RNA from 1 species